rnacentral:rRNA from 1 species
GAUGAACGCUAGCUACAGGCUUAACACAUGCAAGUCGAGGGGCAGCAUGAAAGGAACUUCGGUUCUUUUUGAUGGCGACCGGCGCACGGGUGCGUAACGCGUAUCGAACCUGCCUCAUACUCGGGGAUAGCCUUGCGAAAGUAAGAUUAAUACCCGGCGGUCUCGGAUGGCCGCAUGACUAUCCGAGUGAAGAUUUAUCGGUAUGAGAUGGCGAUGCGUCCCAUUAGCUAGUUGGUGAGGUAACGGCUCACCAAGGCAUCGAUGGGUAGGGGUUCUGAGAGGAAGGUCCCCCGCAUUGGAACUGAGACACGGUCCAAACUCCUACGGGAGGCAGCAGUGAGGAAUAUUGGUCAAUGGACGCAAGUCUGAACCAGCCAAGUAGCGUGCAGGAAGACGGCCCUCUGGGUUGUAAACUGCUUUUAGUUGGGAAUAAAAAGAGGGACGUGUCCCUUAUUGUAUGUACCAUCAGAAAAAGGACCGGCUAAUUCCGUGCCAGCAGCCGCGGUAAUACGGAAGGUCCAGGCGUUAUCCGGAUUUAUUGGGUUUAAAGGGAGCGCAGGCGGCGGCGUAAGUCAGUUGUGAAAUCGUGCGGCUUAACCGUGCAAUUGCAGUUGAUACUGCGUCGCUUGAGUGCACACAGGGAUGUUGGAAUUCAUGGUGUAGCGGUGAAAUGCUUAGAUAUCAUGAAGAACUCCGAUCGCGAAGGCAUAUGUCCGGAGUGCAACUGACGCUGAGGCUCGAAAGUGUGNGUAUCAAACAGG